UCAGAUUACAAAGAUAAUUUGUGCAUAUCAACUCUUAUGCAACAAUGGAAUUUGCAGUUCCCCCUGAAUUCAAUCUAACACCCGAUGGACCACCUCUUUGGGUGUCAUUAGCAGAAAAGGGUUAUUAUGGAUUUAAGCCUACAGUUUGUGCUCUUUGCUAUUCAAGGACCCAUGAUAUUUUGCAAUGUCCUGAGAGGAAAUAUUUUCCAGAUUAUGUCCAAGAGUAUAUAUAUAUGAGAAACGAUUCAAAAUGGAACUGGAAUAAUCCCCAUUCAGAGUUCUA